UGUAAAUAUGUGCAAGCGCUGUUGCUAGCAAGGGCAGAGAUGUAAAUGUAUGGCGUGUGGGCAAGACUUUCCGAAGCCACCAAAAUGCAAAAGUGUGGACAGCCCCGUCUCUCCUUUUCUGGGCCAUGCUACCCGGGUACACCUUAUGGAGUGUCUAUAGCCAGUAGCUUUCCAUCAACAGAAAGAAAGGAACCUCCCUCGAAUGUGAGUAAAGAUUUCUGAGACAUUUGAGAAACUUUCAUUGGAUUGCCUGUUACUUGAUGUCUUUUUCA
rnacentral:lncRNA from 1 species